rnacentral:lncRNA from 1 species
UUGCACCCAGCACUGGGCUGGGUCCUCUGAAAGAAAUCCCGUAAAACCUCAAGGAGCUCACAGGCUGGAAUAUUCUUUCACAGGCAAGCAAGGACCCAGGGCUGUGCUCAAGCUGGGCUACAAGGGCUGGACCAGGGUCUGGGGUUGGGCAUAGGUUGGGCUGACUUGCAGUUGCUGGCCUUGGAGAAAGGAGAAGCAAAGCCACUGUGAUUGGAGGAAGGAGAUUCAGGAAGCAAGGACAGCUCUUAGUGUCAGUUCCAAUGGUUGGGUAUGAGAAAGAGGGAGUAAAAACUGGGGCUUCAAGAAGGCAGGGACUAUAGUUGUAUUUCCUCCCAGUGUAUUCACAGUGCAUCUGGUUCACCAAAGACUCUCAAGGUGACUUCAUCCAUGGCGGCUGUGUGGCAGCGAGCUACUUGCGCAUCUCUUCUGUUCCGUGAGGUCAUGUUGGCAGCUUGAAAUUGAUCAAGUGGGAAGCAUUUACAUCACAGAAAUUGAUACCAUGAAAGGAUUUGAGCGUUUUUUUAUGUGAAUCCAAAGAUGACAUUUACAAAAGGUGGAGAAGCAGUUCCCUACUGAGGGACGUGGAUACAAAAAGCAGAUGACACAACACAUCCCAUAGAGUUCCCAGGGAAGAAUGAACCCAGAUUCUUGACCUGCAGAGGUGGCGUACUGGCUGGAGAAAUCUCUGGCUGGCGACCGUGCUAUUCUGUCUGUCCACCUAACUGUGGGCUCCCAGAUCACCACUGCCAUGGGCAGGGGGCCGUGGGGUGGGCCUGCUUGGGGUGACAGGCUAGCUGUGCUCCCAUAGCAGAGGUGGGAGAAGGGAAUCACAUCUGGUGAGCAGCUAUGUCGUGCCAGGCACUGUGCUGUGUAUUGCACACAUCUCAAACCUUGUGACAAAUGUGUAAGAUAUUUUUUAUGUAUUACAAAUGAAGGAACUGGGCUCAGAAAAGCUCCAUUAUUUGCCCAAAUUGCAGCAGUAAUGCAGGAAUUUGAAUCCACAUUAAUCUGACUCCACAACCCAUGUUCUUUCACUGAAUUCCCAUAUCCUUGUUCCCCCUACUGUCCUCACUGGUCAAGGUGAGCUUGGUCUUCCACAAACAGGCUAGAAAAGUAUGCUUACUUAUCUUUAGCUUUAUGCUUUUAAACUAAUUCUUAAAAAUCUUCUCUGGAUAAGUCAAAGACAAUGGGAAUGUGUAUUUCUAAUACAUUAAUUAUAAUACAUUACCGGUUUACACAAUGCCAUCACCUUGUCAUUUUCUUUGACACAACGUCCCCCUCCCCUCUAGUUUAUAAAUGAGGACAUUGAGGCACAAAGUGGGUAAGUGACUUGCCCAAGGGGGAGAUUUGUCCAAUCAUAAAGAUGGGCCUGAACUUUUUCUACUUUGCAUUCUUACUUGAAAGGCAGGAAACAUAUGCUCAAGAGGGAGAUCUCACGAAAUUUCAUGUCAUAUAGUGCUCUCGCUAAUUUAAUCCUGUCAUUCCUGGUUAUAUCCCUUUGGAAAAACCACCACCAGUGCCUUCUCUUUUGAUAUAUUUACAGUAAAAAUAUUCCCUGUACAAACCAUCUCACUCUUUCACAGGGAACUGGCUUGGCCCUCUCCCCUGAAGUGGGUUGCACAUCCACCCAGCCCACCCCCAGCUCACU